AGGCAUGCAGAGGGAAAAUACCCCAGAUCGGCAAAGGAAACGUGAUGACAAAACCAUUAGCUUACGCUGAAGAAUGGCCGCUUAGCAAAAUAGAGAGGUGUUGAAAUCAGAGAUAAAAAUGUAGAAGAUACUAUCGGUAAAA